CGCACGGGUGAGUAACGCGUAUGCAACUUACCUAUCAGGAGGGGAUAACCCGGCGAAAGUCGGACUAAUACCGCAUGAAGCAGGGGCCCCGCAUGGGGAUAUUUGCUAAAGAUUCAUCGCUGAUAGAUAGGCAUGCGUUCCAUUAGGCAGUUGGCGGGGUAACGGCCCACCAAGCCGACGAUGGAUAGGGGUUCUGAGAGGAAGGUCCCCCACAUUGGUACUGAGACACGGACCAA
rnacentral:rRNA from 1 species